UCUGUAUGCAGACAUUGAAUAAUAUCGUGUUCUGUAUAGAUAUGACAACAAUACGACGGGGGUUUUCUGUAUGCAGACAUUGAAUAAUAUCGUGUUCUGUAUAGAUAUGACAACAAUACGACGGGGGUUUUCUGUAUGCAGACAUUGACUAAUAUAAUGUUCUGUAUAGAUAUGACAACAAUACGACGGGGGUUUUCUGUAUGCAGACAUUGAAUAAUAUAAUGUUCUGUAUAGAUAUGACAACAAUACGACGGAGGGGUUUUCUGUAUGCAGACAUUGACUAAUAUAAUGUUCUGUAUAGAUAUGACAACAAUACGACGGGGGGUUUUCUGUAUGCAGACAUUGAAUAAUAUCAUGUUCUGUAUAGAUAUGACAACAAUACGACGGGGGUUUUCUGUAUGCAGACAUUGAAUAAUAUCAUGUUCUGUAUAGAUAUGACAACAAUACGACGGGGGGUUUUCUGUAUGCAGACAUUGAAUAAUAUAAUGUUCUGUAUAGAUAUGACAACAAUACGACGGGGGUUUUCUGUAUGCAGACAUUGAAUAAUAUAAUGUUCUGUAUAGAUAUGACAACAAUACGACGGGGGUUUUCUGUAUGCAGACAUUGAAUAAUAUCAUGUUCUAUACCAAAACAUAUUCUUGAAAACAAGUACAGCAUGUAAACCAGAAAUAAAGGCAGAUCAUAGUUUUAAUUCUGUGUCAACAAACUGUUCUAAAAAUAUGUAUCUUGUUCUUCUCGGC
rnacentral:lncRNA from 1 species